GAUGAACGCUGGCGGCGUGCCUAAUACAUGCAAGUCGAGCGAACGGACGAGAAGCUUGCUUCUCUGAUGUUAGCGGCGGACGGGUGAGUAACACGUGGAUAACCUACCUAUAAGACUGGGAUAACUUCGGGAAACCGGAGCUAAUACCGGAUAAUAUUUUGAACCGCAUGGUUCAAAAGUGAAAGACGGUCUUGCUGUCACUUAUAGAUGGAUCCGCGCUGCAUCAGCUAGUUGGUAAGGUAACGGCUUACCAAGGCAACGAUGCAUAGCCGACCUGAGAGGGUGAUCGGCCACACUGGAACUGAGACACGGUCCAGACUCCUACGGGAGGCAGCGGUAGGGAAUCUUCCGCAAUGGGCGAAAGCCUGACGGAGCAACGCCGCGUGAGUGAUGAAGGUCUUCGGAUCGUAAAACUCUGUUAUUAGGGAAGAACAUAUGUGUAAGUAACUGUGCACAUCUUGACGGUACCUAAUCAGAAAGCCACGGCUAACUACGUG
rnacentral:rRNA from 1 species